GGAGGCUACUGCUAUUGGAAUUCGACUAAGCCAUGCGAGUCAAGGUGUCUUCGGACGCCGGCAAACGGCUCAAGUAACACGUAGGUAAUCUACCCUCAGGACUGAGAUAACCCCGGGAAACUGGGGCGUAAUACCAGAUAGAUAAAAGAAUACUGGAAUGUUCUUUUAUUCCAAAGCUUUUGUUGCCUGAGGAUGAGCCUGCGCCCGAUUAGGUAGUUGGUGGGGUAAUGGCCCACCAAGCCUGCGAUCGGUACGGGCAGUGGGAGCUGUAGCCCGGAGUUGGGGACUGAGACAAGGCCCCAGGCCCUACGGGGCGCAGCAGGCGCGAAACCUCUGCAAUGCGGGAAACCGUGACAGGGGGAUUCCAAGUGCUAGCACUUUGUGUUAGCUGUUCUUCUGU
rnacentral:rRNA from 1 species